rnacentral:rRNA from 1 species
GAUGAACGCUGGCGGCGUGCCUAAUACAUGCAGGUCGAGCGAACGGACGAGAAGCUUGCUUCUCUGAUGUUAGCGGCGGACGGGUGAGUAACACGUGGAUAACCUACCUAUAAGACUGGGAUAACUUCGGGAAACCGGAGCUAAUACCGGAUAAUAUUUUGAACCGCAUGGUUCAAAAGUGAAAGACGGUCUUGCUGUCACUUAUAGAUGGAUCCGCGCUGCAUUAGCUAGUUGGUAAGGUAACGGCUUACCAAGGCAACGAUGCAUAGCCGACCUGAGAGGGUGAUCGGCCACACUGGAACUGAGACACGGUCCAGACUCCUACGGGAGGCAGCAGUAGGGAAUCUUCCGCAAUGGGCGAAAGCCUGACGGAGCAACGCCGCGUGAGUGAUGAAGGUCUUCGGAUCGUAAAACUCUGUUAUUAGGGAAGAACAUAUGUGUAAGUAACUGUGCACAUCUUGACGGUACCUAAUCAGAAAGCCACGGCUAACUACGUGCCAGCAGCCGCGGUAAUACGUAGGUGGCAAGCGUUAUCCGGAAUUAUUGGGCGUAAAGCGCGCGUAGGCGGUUUUUUAAGUCUGAUGUGAAAGCCCACGGCUCAACCCGUGGAGGGUCAUUGGAAACUGGAAAACUUGAGUGCAGAAGAGGAAAGUGGAAUUCCAUGUGUAGCGGUGAAAUGCGCAGAGAUAUGGAGGAACACCAGUGGCGAAGGCGACUUUCUGGUCUGUAACUGACGCUGAUGUGCGAAAGCGUGGGGAUCAAACAGGAUUAGAUACCCUGGUAGUCCACGCCGUAAACGAUGAGUGCUAAGUGUUAGGGGGUUUCCGCCCCUUAGUGCUGCAGCUAACGCAUUAAGCACUCCGCCUGGGGAGUACGACCGCAAGGUUGAAACUCAAAGGAAUUGACGGGGACCCGCACAAGCGGUGGAGCAUGUGGUUUAAUUCGAAGCAACGCGAAGAACCUUACCAAAUCUUGACAUCCUUUGACAGCUCUAGAGAUAGAGCUUUCCCCUUCGGGGGACAAAGUGACAGGUGGUGCAUGGUUGUCGUCAGCUCGUGUCGUGAGAUGUUGGGUUAAGUCCCGCAACGAGCGCAACCCUUAAGCUUAGUUGCCAUCAUUAAGUUGGGCACUCUAAGUUGACUGCCGGUGACAAACCGGAGGAAGGUGGGGAUGACGUCAAAUCAUCAUGCCCCUUAUGAUUUGGGCUACACACGUGCUACAAUGGACAAUACAAAGGGCAGCGAAACCGCGAGGUCAAGCAAAUCCCAUAAAGUUGUUCUCAGUUCGGAUUGUAGUCUGCAACUCGACUACAUGAAGCUGGAAUCGCUAGUAAUCGUAGAUCAGCAUGCUACGGUGAAUACGUUCCCGGGUCU